rnacentral:pre_miRNA from 1 species
CAGGGCAGGUUUUUUUUCUCAGCUACAUCGGUGUAAAUCCAGAGCAAUCCACUGAGAUUCACACCAGAGUAACUGAGAGCAGAAUCUGGCCAU